rnacentral:rRNA from 1 species
AACGUAGGCGGUCCGCUAAGUCGGAUGUGAAAGCCCUCGGCUUAACCGAGGAAGUGCAUUCGAAACUGUCGGACUUGAGUAUGGUAGAGGGUCGCGGAAUUCCCGGUGUAGAGGUGAAAUUCGUAGAUAUCGGGAGGAACACCAGUGGCGAAGGCGGCGACCUGGGCCAAUACUGACGCUGAGGUUCGAAAGCGUGGGGAGCAAACA